rnacentral:rRNA from 1 species
UACGUAGGGACCGAGCGUUGUCCGGAAUCAUGGGGGGUAAAGGGCGUGUAGGCGGCCAUUUAAGUCCUGCGUGAAAUCCUGCGGCUCAACCGCAGGCGGUCGUGGGAAACUGGGUGGCUAGAGUGCGGGAGAGGAGAGUGGAAUUCCUGGUGUAGCGGUGGAAUGCGCAGAUAUCAGGAAGAACACCCGUGGCGAAGGCGGCUCUCUGGAACGCAACUGACGCUGAGACGCGAAAGCGUGGGGAGCAAACAGG